rnacentral:rRNA from 1 species
GAUGAACGCUGACAGAAUGCUUAACACAUGCAAGUCUAUGAGAAGAUCUACUUCGGUAGAAGGUAUCAUGGCGGACGGGUGAGUAACGCGUAAAGAACUUGCCUCUUAGACUGGGAUAACAGAUGGAAACGUCUGAUAAGACUAGAUAUAAUAGCGACAUGGCAUCAUGUUGUUAUGAAAGGUAACACUAAGAGAGAGCUUUGCGUCCUAUUAGUUAGUUGGUGAGGUAAUGGCUCACCAAGACGAUGAUAGGUAGCCGGCCUGAGAGGGUGAACGGCCACAAGGGGACUGAGAUACGGCCCUUACUCUUACGGGAGGCAGCAGUGGGGAAUAUUGGACAAUGGAGGAAACUCUGAUCCAGCAAUUCUGUGUGCACGAUGAAGGUUUUCGGAUCGUAAAGUGCUUUCAGUAGGGAAGAAGAAAGUGACGGUACCUACAGAAGAAGCGACGGCUAAAUACGUGCCAGCAGCCGCGGUAAACUCGU